AGCGAACGCUGGCGGCAGGCUUAACACAUGCAAGUCGAACGCCCGUAGCAAUACGGGAGUGGCAGACGGGUGAGUAACACGUGGGAACAUACCCUUCGGUUCGGAAUAACUCAGGGAAACUUGAGCUAAUACCGGAUACGUCCGCGAGGAGAAAGAUUCAUCGCCGAAGGAUUGGCCCGCGUCCGAUUAGCUAGUUGGUGAGGUAAUGGCUCACCAAGGCGACGAUCGGUAGCUGGUCUGAGAGGAUGACCAGCCACACUGGGACUGAGACACGGCC
rnacentral:rRNA from 1 species